UUUUCAAAAAUUCAAAAAAAAAGACCCCGACCGCCGCCGCCAACGGCCAAACUCCCAGCUUCUUCCACCCUUUUCAACAAAUAUCAGAUGCUCCAUUGAAUCUACAUAAAUUGCUGAAGAAAAUAUGAUCUUUUUGUUUCAGUUCAAAAUCCUGAAACUCGCUCCUUCACCAGCAUGGUGGGUGUGCUUAAAUGUGGAUUGCAGCAGUUUGAGAAGGCAACUGACUGCUAUCUUUUCUGAGGAUGGUUGGAGAUGGGCAAUAAAUGCCAACAAUAGCCACAUCUUGUGAAUAGAUGAGAGAAAAACCUGUUUUUCUUCCUCCCUUCUCAACAUCCGAGGUUCCAAACUCUGUUCAAAUGAAACAAUGAUUCAAAUUAGUAUUUAGUAUAGUCGCUGCUCAUGAUGCAGUCUCUUCUAAAUUUUAAUAAACCAAUUGAUCAUUGGUGACUUUUGCUCAGUCUCGAAAGCUGACUGAGCUUUUGGUUGCUUGUCAUUUUAGUUCGCUGUUCCACUCCCUAUCUGUCCACAAUGGCUUAAUUGGUAGGAUCCUUUAUCUUUGAUUUUAGAGAUGCCAGUGUUAGACUGGGGUGUACAAAGUUAAAAAUCACACAACACCAGGUUAUAGUCCCACAUGCGCGCACACAUCUAUAAGUUUGUGGGGUGAAUUUGUACUUGCAGAUUUACAUUUCACUCAAACUGCAUGAAUCAAUGUAAGAUUUUCUAAAUUUAUUUUUUUUUAGAUUAGAAUCCGUCUAAACAUUGUAGCACAGACUGUAUCACACAGGGGAACCCACACCUUCAAUACAUUAUCUGGACUGACAGACACCAUUUGUUAAAAUUCACUUGAGAAU